UUUCUCGCUGCGGCGGGAUCUCAAGGAGCUCGACCGGUCCUGCUGACUCAAGCUCAGCUGUCCCGAACCUCCUGGGAAGUUUGCGGCACUCUCUAAAGAGGACAGUUUUGAGCUACUUCUGCAGCCUCCUGGAGGAUGGCCUUGGCCCUACGCCCUCCCAUCUGCCUCUGUUUCCUUGCAGUUAAAGUCUCCCGCUGCGGAUCCUUCUCCCUCCGGCUGGCUGCAGCGUCCUCAUUUCUGGCCAUGCCUAUCUGCCUGUUGCCAUGCUUCCCACGGAGACGAUCACGAACACACCCUCUGAAACUUGCUGGAUUGUGCCACCAUGCCCAGCUUGUAGGAGGACAUUAGAGACUGACAGAAUCCAAAUCUGAAAGGAUGUGUCCAGAAGAAUACCUAUCUCAAGACCUGAAGGCCAACUAAGAGUUAGACAAAAGGGAAGAGAAUAUUCUGGAAGAAUAUUUUAUCUUCAUUAUUCAACUUGUUUUUAUUUACACUGACUUUCCUUUUUCUCAGCUUUAUCUCCAAACUCAAACAGAACUUGUUUCAUGGUUUAUUUCUAAAAUAUAGUGUGAUGUGAAGUUCCCCAGGUGAAAUUUUCAUAUAUUUUGAAAUUUACAAAUCCUUUAUUUAUAACCCAUUAUCUUGUGUUCUCUUAGUCCAAAAAUCAAGCAAAGUGGUUGCUUUAGGUUGCCUUAUUUUCCUUUCUGGUUAGAACAUGGGCUUCUGUUAUUAGUUAAUAACACAAUAACUAACUGUAAAAACAAGUUAAUGUGAG
rnacentral:lncRNA from 1 species